rnacentral:rRNA from 1 species
GACGAACGCUGGCGGCGUGCUUAACACAUGCAAGUCGAACGAAGUGGCGAAGGGGUGAGUAAUACGUGGGUAACCUGCCCUCCUUUUUGGGAUAAGCCUUGGAAACGGGGUCUAAUACCGAAUAUAUGGGGAUGGGCUCGCGGCCUAUCAGCUUGUUGGUGGGGUGAUGGCCUACCAAGGCGGUGACGGGUGGCCGGGCUGAGAGGGUGAACGGCGACAUAGGGACGGAGAUACGGCCCAGGGUAGUAAGGAGUGGAGAAGUUGGGGAUAUUGCAGAAUGGGCGAAAGAGUGAUGCAGCGACGCCGCGUGAGGGAUGAAGGCUGUCAGGUUGUAAAGCUCGUUCGGUAGCGAACGGGUAGGUGGAGAAGAAGCGCCGGCUAACUACGUGCCAGCAGCCGCGGUAAUUC